GAUGAACGCUAGCGGCAGGCCUAACACAUGCAAGUCGAGGGGGAGGUUACUUUCGGGUAACUGAGACCGGCGUACGGGUGCGUAACGCGUAUACAAUCUGCCUUUCACUGGGGGAUAGCACGAAGAAAUUUGGAUUAAUACCCCAUAGUAUAGUAAUACGGCAUCGUGAUGCUAUUAAAGCUUAGGUGGUGAAAGAUGAGUAUGCGUUCUAUUAGCUAGUUGGAGAGGUAACGGCUCCCCAAGGCGAUGAUAGAUAGGGGUUCUGAGAGGGAUGUCCCCCACACUGGUACUGAGAUACGGACCAGACUCCUACGGGAGGCAGCAGUGAGGAAUAUUGGACAAUGGUCGGAAGACUGAUCCAGCCAUGCCGCGUGCAGGAUGAAGGUCUUAUGGAUUGUAAACUGCUUUUGUAAGGGAAGAAUAAGGGCUACGCGUAGUUUGAUGACGGUACCUUACGAAUAAGCAUCGGCUAACUCCGUG
rnacentral:rRNA from 1 species